rnacentral:rRNA from 1 species
CAGUCGCCGCGGUAAUACGGAGGGUGCGAGCGUUAAUCGGAAUUACUGGGCGUAAAGCGUACGCAGGCGGUUUGUUAAGUCAGAUGUGAAAUCCCCGAGCUUAACUCGGGAACUGCAUUUGAAACUGGCAAGCUAGAGUCUCGUAGAGGGGGGUAGAAUUCCAGGUGUAGCGGUGAAAUGCGUAGAGAUCUGGAGGAAUACCGGUUGCGAAGGCGGCCCCCUGGACAAAGACUGACGCUCAGGUGCGAAAGCGUGGGGAGCAAACAGGAUUAGAUACCCGUGUAGUCCCUGUCUCUUAUAC